rnacentral:rRNA from 1 species
ACUCCUACGGGAGGCAGCAGUGGGGAAUCUUGCGCAAUGCGCGAAAGCGUGACGCAGCAACGCCGCGUGGGGGAAGAAGGCCUUCGGGUUGUAAACCUCUUUCAGUUGGGACGAAGGUCCGCCGGUUAAUAGCUGGUUGGGCUGACGGUACCUUCAGAAGAAGCCCCGGCUAACUACGUGCCAGCAGCCGCGGUAAUACGUAGGGGGCAAGCGUUGUCCGGAAUCAUUGGGCGUAAAGAGCGUGUAGGCGGCCCGGUAAGUCCGCUGUGAAAGUCCAGGGCUCAACCCUGGAAUGCCGGUGGAUACUGUCGGGCUCGAAUCCGGAAGAGGUGAGUGGAAUUCCUGGUGUAGCGGUGAAAUGCGCAGAUAUCAGGAGGAACACCAAUGGCGAAGGCAGCUCACUGGGACGGUAUUGACGCUGAGACGCGAAAGCGUGGGGAGCGAACAGGAUUAGAUACCCUGGUAG